AAGGCCUUAGUUUAACAAAAACAUUUGAUUUGCAUUCAGAAGAUGCAAGACAAACUCUUGUAGGUCUUA
rnacentral:tRNA from 1 species